UGGGGAAUUUUGGACAAUGGGCGAAAGCCUGAUCCAGCAAUGCCGCGUGUGUGAAGAAGGCCUUCGGGUUGUAAAGCACUUUUGUCCGGAAAGAAAUCCUUGGCUCUAAUACAGUCGGGGGAUGACGGUACCGGAAGAAUAAGCACCGGCUAACUACGUGCCAGCAGCCGCGGUAAUACGUAGGGUGCAAGCGUUAAUCGGAAUUACUGGGCGUAAAGCGUGCGCAGGCGGUUUGCUAAGACCGAUGUGAAAUCCCCGGGCUCAACCUGGGAACUGCAUUGGUGACUGGCAGGCUAGAGUAUGGCAGAGGGGGGUAGAAUUCCACGUGUAGCAGUGAAAUGCGUAGAGAUGUGGAGGAAUACCGAUGGCGAAGGCGAGCCCCCUGGGCCAAUACUGACGCUCAUGCACGAAAGCGUGGGGGAGCAAAACAGGAUUAGAUACCCCUGGUAGUCCACGCCCCUAAAACGAUGUCAACUAGUUGUUGGGGAUUCAUUUCCUUAGUAACGUAGCUAACGCGUGAAGUUGACCGCCUGGGGAGUACGGUCGCAAGAUUAAAACUCAAA
rnacentral:rRNA from 1 species